rnacentral:rRNA from 1 species
GGACGGGGCCCGCACAAGCGGUGGAGUAUGUGGUUUAAUUCGAUGCAACGCGAAGAACCUUACCUGGUCUUGACAUCCCGGAGACCCUUAGGAAACUAGGGGGUGCUUCCAUCUGGAAGAAUCUGGAGACAGGUGCUGCAUGGCUGUCGUCAGCUCGUGUCGUGAGAUGUUGGGUUAAGUCCCGCAACGAGCGCAACCCUUGCCUUUAGUUGCCAGCAGUUCGGCUGGGCACUCUAAAGGGACUGCCGGUGUUAAACCGGAGGAAGGUGGGGAUGACGUCAAGUCCUCAUGGCCUUUAUGACCAGGGCUACACACGUGCUACAAUGGCCGAUACAAAGGGCAGCGACACUGCGAGGUGAAGCCAAUCCCGUAAAAUCGGUCUCAGUCCGGAUUGGAGUCUGCAACUCGACUCCAUGAAGUUGGAAUCGCUAGUAAUCGUGGAUCAGCAUGCCACGGUGAAUACGUUCCCGGGCCUU